UACGUAGGGAGCAAGCGUUGUCCGGAAUCAUUGGGCGUAAAGCGCGCGUAGGUGGCUUCGUAAGUCCGUUGUGAAAGUCCAAGGCUCAACCUUUGAAAGCCGAUGGAUACUGUGAAGCUAGAGUACGGAAGAGGCGAGUGGAAUUCCUGGUGUAGCGGUGGAAUGCGCAGAUAUCAGGAGGAACACCAAUAGCGAAGGCAGCUCGCUGGGACGUUACUGACACUGAGGCGCGAAAGCGUGGGGAGCGAACAGG
rnacentral:rRNA from 1 species